AUGUAGAAACUCAGCAAGUGUAGAACUCAACUAGCUCGUCCAUGGACCCCAACUGAGUCUCUGCAUUCUCAAGCAUCCACAACAAGUGCUCAAACAGCACCACCUCACAAGCCACCACAACCUCGCCGGAUGACGUGUCCACCAGCUCCUGAAUGACGGGGUGUUCAACGACUUCCGAGCUGACCAGCAAUGGAGCUUGUGGUGCGAGUGAGCUUGGUGAACGAAGGCCAUCUCUUUAUUGCUGACUUGAGCUUCGUUAGCUUCCCGGCUUUUGCCAUAAUAUUUUCUGAAACUCUUAAGUCUAGAUGAGAGAGAGAGGUUUGUGAAAAAUUGAGUGCUGCGAGGAAAGUGUGAGGGAAGGUUCAUGUAUAAAUGUGGAGGACAGAGGGAGAGAGAAACUAGAGAGAGAACCCUACUUGCAUGGCCCACUGUUUGAUACCAGCUAAGAAAGAGAUAUUUGGGUGCAAAACCAGUUGCACCUUGUUUGGCAAUUGGCGUGCCUUACAAUUAGCUUGAUAGAUGACCUUUCUUGCUUAUGGAUUUUCUGUUUUAUUUAUUUUGUUUAAUUUUCUGCAUAUUUCCAUUGUGGGGAUAUAUAAUACAUAAGUACCUUUUGCCA
rnacentral:sRNA from 1 species